GACGGACCGUACGAACGUUUAUUCGGAAUUACUGGGCUUAAAAGGGUGCGUAGGUCGGCUCAGAAAGUUGAAUGUGAAAGCCCUCGGCUUAACCGAGGAAUUGCAUCCAAAACUACUGGGCUUGAGUGAGACAGAGUGAGCGGAACUCACGGUGGAGCGGUGAAAUGCGUUGAUAUCGUGAGGAACACCGGUGGCGAAAGCGGCUCACUGG
rnacentral:rRNA from 1 species